CGCUCUCAAACGCCGCACGCUCGAAAUUCCUCCAAGGAACCUCUGCAAGCUUUUCUUUUUUCAUCACGCGCGAGCUAAAAAUAGAAACGGGGUUGGAUCGUGAUCCAGAAAUAGAUAGGGGGCAUCACUCCUAUAAAAGGCAUACCAUUCAAGAGUACAGUGAGAGAAGAGAAAAGCCGGAGCAGAUUUAAUGGACAAAUAGGGUGUUUAGUCCAUUUUUUAAAAGCUUCUUUCCGCGCUUUUAUCAGAAUCUCUGCAGCUACAACGGCUCCCCACUUCACAUGCAAAUACAGCACACAACACCUGGAGACAGCAGCAGUGACCAAACAACAUCUAGGUCAGCAAGUGGACUCUUCAGUGAGUGGGAAAUCAAGUAAAAAAUGUAAACAAAAAUUUGCAUCAUAUUCUGUUUUUACUUUCCUAAAAUGUUCAAGAAUGUCUGCCUUCUCAUCUCUAAACUACACUUUAACUGAGUCUAUUAAGACAUCAAGAGUUUUUUUCUAUCUCGCAAUCAAUGAUGUAAGUACAAAAAAUUCUAUGACAAAGCAAAUGAUUUAACUUUUUAUGUUCUUGUUAUUUAUUACCUUUCCCACAUUACCGCAUCUUUUAUUAAACUCUCGAUACAAAAUAUAUAUUUUUUAAGUCACCUGUACAAACCUUAAAUCUGGUUUAAUGUGGUUUGAGGUUUAGCACUGAACAAUUUCUACAUUUGAUUGUUGUACAAAUCUGAAUGUUUUCUUUAUUCCUCUAACAAAUUUUGCACAUGAUUUUUAAUAUACCGCUGACAUAAGUGACUGAACUGUUCAUUAAUCUUAAAGCUCCUUUAAAUAGCUAUGAGACUGAUAUUUUACCCAUGUUGAGGAGCAUGGGCAUUAAACUCCCCUCUCACUUUAUUUUAGAAAUGGUCAAAUUUAUCCAAUUGCUCACAAACUAAGGAGUGUCAUGUUUGUGAUUCAUCCCUUUCUUUGCAAUUUUUCAUCUCAUACACAUCAGCGUGUGCACAUCGAUCACAAUCCCUUUAAAAAGCAGGGAAUUAAAGUAUUUUUUUAUCAUGUGACAAUUUAAAUGGACUUAAAACUUGUGUCUCUUGAAAUAAACAAUGUUUAGAAGCUGACAA